rnacentral:rRNA from 1 species
CAGCCGCCGCGGUAAUACGAAGGGGGCUAGCGUUGCUCGGAAUGACUGGGCGUAAAGGGCGCGUAGGCGGUUUAUACAGUCAGAUGUGAAAUUCCUGGGCUCAACCUGGGGACUGCAUUUGAUACGUAUGGACUUGAGUGGAGAAGAGGGUUGUGGAAUUUCUAGUGUAGAGGUGAAAUUCGUAGAUAUUGGAAAGAACACCGGUGGCGAAGGCGGCAACCUGGUCUUUAACUGACGCUGAGGCGCGAAAGCGUGGGGAGCAAACAGGAUUAGAUACCCCGGUAGUCCCUGUCUCUUAUAC